UUUGGGUCUGCUAAUUAUUUAGCAUACCCAUCUUUGGUCUGCUAAUUAUUUAGCAUACCCAUCUUUGGUCUGCUAAAUAUUUAGCAUAUCCAUCUUUGGUCUGCUAAAUAUUUAGCAUACCUAUCUUUGGUCUGCUAAAUAUUUUUCCUUGGGUCUGCUAAAUAUUUAGCAUACCCACCUUGGGUCUGCUAAAUAUUUAGCAUACCCUUCUUUGGUCUGCUAAAUAUUUAGCAUACCUAUCUUUGGUCUGCUAAGUAUUUAGCAUACCUAUCUUUGGUCUGCUAAAUAUUUUUCCUUGGGUCUGCUAAAUAUUUAGCAUACCCAACCUCCUCAAAUUUUGAA
ensembl:ncRNA F30H5.7 ncRNA